AAAAUGGAUAUGUAAUAAAUUAAAGGAGUUUCACCUACUCUUGGGAAAAAACCCAGAACUCAGUAGAAAAUUUGCUGCGUAAGAAAAAUUACAAAGCAUCUCAGGCUGCCUAGGCAGUUGGUCUACUACAGGCAACAGUGGGUUGCUGUCCUUGGUACACAAGAAAGCAUUGGCUAUGGAAAGAGCCAAAAAGUAAGAGGAGAGACAGAGACAGAGACAGAAACAAAGAGAGACAUGAAGAGCUGAGACCUUGAGAAAGACCCUUCUUGCUAGCAAGAUGUGGAGUCUACCAGCAAAGGAGUGGCUGAGGAUGCUGGUGGCCUGAGGUUCUGGAGGCUGAUGUGAUCCAGCUGUGAAUCCCCUUGUGAACAGGAGCUGGCAUGAGCGUCUCAAAGAGACAGAGAGCCUGGCAGUAGUGUGAGAUGUAAGACCUGAUCCCCCAGGAACCAGGAAAGUUGUAAUUGGUCAGACCAUUGGGAGAUAGAGGCAGCAAACUGACAGGGACCAUUGC
rnacentral:lncRNA from 1 species